rnacentral:rRNA from 1 species
AACGUAGGUACCGAGCGUUAUCCGGAUUACUGGCGUAAGCGCGUUCAGGCGGUUUGGCAAGUCGGGCAUGAAAUCUCUCGGCUCAACCGGGAGAGGUUGUCCGAUACUUCCAGACUUGAGGGCAGUAGAGGGUGGUGGAAUUCCGGGUGUAGUGGUGAAAUGCGUAGAUAUCCGGAGGAACACCAGUGGCGAAAGCGGCCACCUGGACUGCACCUGACGCUGACACGCGAAAAGCCUAGGGGGAGCGAACCGGG